rnacentral:misc_RNA from 1 species
GUUCGAGCGUCAUUACAACCCUCAAGCUCUGCUUGGUAUUGGGCUCUGCCAGUCCUGGCAGGCCUCAAAGUCAGUGGCGGUGCAUCCGGCUCCAAGCGUAGUAACUCUUCUCGCUUCGGAGGCCGCGGUGCGUGCUAGCCAGCAACCCCCAAUUUUUUCAGGUUGACCUCGGAUCAGGUAGGGAUACCCGCUGAACUUAA